rnacentral:lncRNA from 1 species
ACACCACUGCACUCCAGCCUGGGCGACAGAGCAAGAAUCCAUCUCAAAAAGAAAAAAAGAAAAAAAAUUAAAAUACUAUAAAGGCAUGAAACAACCAGGUACAUUUAGGAGGUAUCUACUGAGCUCCUAUUAUGUGCUAGGCACAGGGUCCUUCUGUUCUGUUCACCUAGCCUGAUGGCUGUCAUCAUCAAAUAUUUGUUGCAUGCAAAAUGCGUAAAUGAUCUCAUAUAGUCCUAUAACAAUCCUUUGAAGCAUUAUGCCUAUUUUACAGAUUAGGGGACUUGUCCAAAGUUACUCAACUAUGAAGAGUCAAGAUUCAAAUCCGGGAGACGGAGGUUACAAUGAGCCGAGAUCGUGCCACUGCACUCUAGCCUGGGCAACAGAGCAAGACUCCAUCUUAAAAUAAAUUGGGAGACCGAGUUUUCCUGAGUGUUCUCAUGACAUGAAAGCUGGCUUCCCCCAGAGUGUGUGAUUCAAGAGGAAACAAGCAAGCAAGAGAGCACCUGAGAUGGAGGACAGAGUUUCUUGUGUCCUAACCUCAGAAGUGACAUCACUUCGGCUGCAUGCUAGUGGUCACAGACCAACUAUGGCCCAGUGUAGAAGAGGAAGCAGGCAUCAUUGGGGGCCAUCUUGGAGGCUGGGCUACCACUGUGGCUGUCAAAUCUUUGAGGUAUUUAUACUCUAUUGGAAAACUUUAAAAUAAUGACCUAACAGCUUUAAUUUUAAAUGUCAGUAUUUAUGCUGAAAGUUUCAUAAUUUGCUACUACUACGCUAAUGAUGAAAAACUUUAAAGAUACACCUAGGGGGUAUAUAGUUGUUUUUUUUUUUGAGAUGGAGUCUCCCUCUGU